CUGGCUCAGAACGAACGCUGCGGCAUGGAUAGGCAUGCAAGUCGAACGGAGCAGCAAUGCUCCAGUGGCGCAAGGGUGAGGAACACGUGAACAACCUGCCUUCGAUUGGGGAUAGCUUCUGGAAACGGGAGAUAAUACCGAAUAACAUCACCGGAUCGCAUGAUCUGAUGAUCAAAGCAACAAUGCGCUUGAAGAGGGGUUCGCGUCCCAUUAGCUAGUUGGUGAGGUAACGGCCCACCAAGGCGAUGAUGGGUAGCUGGUCUGAGAGGACGAUCAGCCACAUUGGGACUGAGAUACUGCCCAGACUCCUACGGGAGGCUGCAGUCGAGAAUUUUGGGCAAUGGACGAAAGUCUGACCCAGCCAAUGCCGCGUGCGGGAUGAAGGUCUUCGGAUUGUAAACCGCUGUCAAGAGGGACGAAAUUUGACGGUACCUCUGGAGGAAGCCACGGCUAACUACGUGCCAGCAGCAGC
rnacentral:rRNA from 1 species